UAGUAUAAUGCCUGCCCUCACGGUCCAUCCAUAUUGUCACAAAUGGAGGAAUUCUCUCUUUCUCACAGCUGUGCAGUGUGAGGGCAUCUACUGCAUCUCCAUGCAGCCGUCCACUGUCAUCCAUGCUCCACUGCAGGGGGAUUUUAAGAGACAAGUAAAAGCAUCAAGGACAACUCUGAGUCCCCUCGCCCAUCCAGCCAUUUCCCUCCUCUGUCACCCAAGGACCUUCUCAGCCUCCUGGAUCUGAACCACUUUUGUGAGGUUUUUUUAAACUCGAAUGGCGAGCUUUCAUUGCGUGGGAUAGUAAAUAACUGUGUGGCAAAGGCCUUCAUUACAAACCAGAAAUCAAGAAAAUCUCAUUCGGAAAGAUACCGGCUCUGUUGGUGGCUGCAGAGUGCUGAUCCCUAGGCAGGUUCCAAACACUGUGACAUGUGGUACGUGUUCUGCAGCCACUGGGCGUGGGGGCCAGAGAAGCUGGGAAACAGCACCAGCCUCUGUCCCCGUCCACUCAGGGCAAGUUCACGCACAUGCUUGCUUUGUGAAUGUGGUGCCAGUUUCCAGAUCUGUAAAAUGAGGGUGAGGAGAGCACCUGCUUUCUAGGGUGCCUACUCUUAAUCACGAGGCCAGGAUGCUCUGCUAGGGCGGAGCCUCUUUCAUGCUGCCCUCUUACUGGUCCCAAGCUCCUUCCAUCAUUUUCCUCUAUGGACAGUUUACCAAACGUGCUGAGUCAUCUUUAUGGAACUUGGUCCCCCUUCUAUAAAGUGAAGGGCAGGAGGGCUUUGUUUUCUGCUUUUCCAGAAAAAAGAUUCUUAAAAUAGAAUCGGGGUGGCGAGUUUCUUAAUUUAGGUGGCGGGCCAGUGGUUGUGAGAGCUAAAAGCCACCCAUGGCCUCACUCUCCCCACAUGGUGCCACACCUUUCAGUGGGGGGUCCCUCGGGGGUUUGGAACAGGGGAAGCUCUGCACAGACCUACUGACAUCUGAAACAGGCGAGAGCAGUGCCGAUCACACACACUCAGAGAUGCAGGCAGAAUAAAUCAGUGCUCACCACGGGGCAGUGUGCACAGAGCGCCCCUGCGACUGCUAAUGGGGACAGGGCCCGGCCUUCUCAGCGCCUCUGUCCCUGACUGUGACACCUGCAUUCCCAGCACCGAGCAUCACCUAGGAGAUGCUGAGGAACCCAGAAGGGACAGGCCUGAGGCUCAGCUGUUUGUCCUCGCAGGUUGGCUGGGGACAAGGGCCCCGGUCACUACUCCCUAACCAUGCACCUGACCCCGGGGCUGCCAUUUCUGCCCACCUCUGUUUACAGUGAGUGCAGAGGGAGGGGUGGCCUGGGCAGUUCCAGGCGAGGCAUUAGGCCCUGUGCACACCCGGGGGAGACGGCCCUGUCACCACCACACACUCUCAGGGUGGCUGCUUUGGAUGACCACUGGGCCCUGGGACAAGGCUGAAGACCUUUGCAGGUCAGGAAUCACCUGUGACAAUCAAAGGCAUGUGCUCCCAGUCACUGGGUGAGAACAUUCCUGACCCUCUGCAGAUGCUGGGGGUGGGGGGCUGGCGGUGCUACAGUACGAGGUCUCCAGCCCUCCUGGAAGGUGUGGCUGCAGGAGGUUAGAGCGUGAGGAGGGGGAACUAGGCUCUGAGAACUGGGUGGCAGGGACAUUGACCAGCCAGAAUGACUGCUGUGUCACGGCAGGCACAGUGGUCUAACCCUCACGCUGUCUCCUAGGUGUCACCCUGGAGCAAUGAGCGGCGCAUGCAGAGGAACACAGCAGGUGGGCCUCUGCCCGGAGGAGCCAGAAAACCAAACAGGUACAAUGCACAUGUCAUCACUGCACACUCUCCCAAGAUCAGAGUUGGCAGAGUGAGGCCAGGCUGUAGUCAGACCCUGCAAGGUGGCUGUGCGUCACUAAACCACCACAGGUAGUUUCUACUUACACCCCAAACCACCAGGGCAGAGCAGGGAGCCUCGGGCCUCGCCCAGUCUGGUGGUGUGUGUCGUGGGGGGAAAGCCAGACUUCUCACAGGCCUUUAGAAUUGAAUCACUCCAGGUCCAUGGCACGCACAGCCCUGCAGGGAUAGUCCAGAAGUUUUCUUGGACACUCAAUUAGCAUGGAAUGCAUGGAAUGAUUUUCCCAAAGUGUCUCUUCAAAUGAUAGGAGUUUUGGCUUUUUCUGCAGGUUUCCCAGGCUCUUCCUUUCACAGGACCCCACUCCCUGCAGUCACCUCCCACCCCCGGAGACCUGGAACCUUGGCCUGAGGACCCUUGCUCUCCUCUGAACUCACAGAUGCCAUGUUUUGUCUUUGUGAUUUACUUGACAUUACAGCCAGGUGACACCCCUCCUCUUCUAUCCUGUGGUUUCCACCUCCUACUGGUGUAACUUUGCACAUUUGCAGCUCCUCAAGUGGCCUGCAAGCUCCUUGAAGACAGGAAGUACUGAUGCAGCCACACAGCACCUGGGAGAGGCCCUCCUGCUAGCUCUGGCUCCUGCCUUUCUCUGACUAUCCUUCUUGCAAAAGCACACUACACCAAGCAAUGUAAAAAUCUAAACCAAUUCAUAUUCCUAAGUUACCAACUCUAAUAUCAGGUUUAAUCAAGACUGAGCAGUUAAAUCCUUAUGUCAGUCUCAAACAGAAGAGGAACACGCAGCAACCAGGGGCAGCCACACUGGCCAAGGGCAGCCUCUGCUGAUCCAAGGCCCUGACACCAAGGUGACCAAGUUCACUCCUGUGAUUCAAUGAUGCCACUGAAUGAAUCGGUUGGCAAUCUAUGGCCUGCAGGCCAAAUCUGGCCCAAGGAACAUUUUUGUGCACUUUUAAAUGGUUGGGGGAAAAAAUCAAAAGAAUAUUUUGUGACGUGGAAAUUGUAUGAAAUAGUUUUACUGGGACGCAGCCGUGCUUUCAGACGACAAGGGCAGAGCCACGUUGUUGUGACAAGGAUCACAGGACCCACAAAACCUACAGUACUUUCGACGUGGCCUUUUAGGGAAAAACAUCUGCUGGCUCCUGGAUUGGAAGGCAUGCCAUGGAUUUAAUGAGGUUUUGGUUGUUUAUUAAAAUAUAUAAAUCAAGUAUACGAUGUCUCCUGAUUUAAGUCUGUGAAUCAGGACAUAUGGCACCAGCUAGAUCUGGCUUUCCAAAUAUUAUACAUUUCUCUGAGCCUUUAGGAAAUGCUUUCGGGAGAACCCUUGUACAGGGGCUGAGCUAGAUAAGGGGGUUGUCUAGCUUACAGGCUUUAGAAUCUGUCAUUCAAAGGGAGAGUUGCCAUCACUUACGCCUCCCAUUUCUGACUGUGCCCUCAGGAGCCAUUUCCCUUUGAUCCUAUAGCCCCUGCAGAUCAUACCCAUUUACGGCUGACUCUCAUUGUCCAUAAAGUCAUUGGGAACAGUGAAUUCCAAACACUGAACCUUCACUCCUAGGGAAAAUAUGGAGUUAGGUUUCUAUGAGCUACUGAUCAUGACAUUUUCAUAAAACGAUCUCUACUUAACCUUGUUUUAUGUGUAUUUCUGUUUAAAGACUCCUUAUUUAAUGUACACUGCUGACUCCUUAACAUUGAACUCACAUUCAACAGCACUAUACCGCAUGCCUGAACAAAGCUUACUGAACACUUACUUUCUCCAUGAAGCACAUCACAGCCUCCUGCCCUUAAGAACACAAGACAGUGUAUGAGCACUACAUUUGGGGACAAUUUUAAACAGCAACAUCACUAACAAAAAUGCAAGAAAUGUGUUACCAAGUAGAUCAUGAAAAGCACACUUAUUUACUGUAUGAGCUGAAACAAGAAGGGAGAAUGUCACCUUGCUUGACCUUCAUUGGGAACAUGACUCAAUUUAUUACUCUGCUCAUGUCUGUGAAAGUGCUGAGAGUAUUGAUUUGGGGGGUGCGGGUUACAAGUAUUUUAAAUGUUUUUGUUAGUCCUCACCUGAGGAUUUUUUUUCCAUUGUUUUUUUGGGAGAGAGUGGAAGGGAGGGGGAGAGAGAGAGACACAUCGAUUGGAUUGGUAGCCUCCCGCAUGUACAGGUGCCUGGGAUCGAGCCUGCAAGUACAUGCCCUUGACUGGGAAUUGAACCCGUGACCCGUGUGUGUAGGCUCAUGCUCUAACUCUUGAGCAACACCGGCCAGGGCUGGAGGAUACAAUUUUAACUAGUAGGCAAACUCAAAAAUACAGAAUCUGCAAAUAAUGAUCGACUGUGUGUGAAGAUAUAUACACUUUCUACUCCCUUUAACCAUGACCUUGAUCAACUGGCAUCUUCAAUGUCAGUCAUUUCAUAGGAUCUGCCCUAGUCCAAAAUGGCACUGAUAAUAACGUUCCUCUUUUCUGUUGAUUAACGAUGUCUGUGUCCCUUAAGAAAUUUCUUCACUAUUUCUUUUUGUAUUAAAUUAGACCUGAGGUUUAAGGCUCCUUUCGAGCGUGUGGACGAGUCUCCGGUUUCCUUCGAUUGGACACCCUGCUCCACUGAGGCUUCUGCCUUCCAUCCCUGCAAGGUCCAUGGCCACAUCCGCACCGGCUGCCACAGGUGCUGCUCUCCCACUCGUCAUGCCCUCUGAGCUACACGACUUUACUUAGUGGAGCCCCUUGUUCAGAGUUUAUGAAGGACCUCAAGAUGGAGACAGCGGAACAGGAAGCUUAAGAGUGAGACCCUUCUACCAGUACGUGUGGGACGCUAAAGUGACACCUCUCCUCACCUACCAGCAGCCCAGGAGCUAACCAGGUGCAGGGCUGGCUAUGCACAGAUGCCUCUCACAGAUGAGGAAGCUAAGGACUGGAGGUUUACACACUUGUCCAAGGACACAAUAAAUGGCAGAGAAGACAUAUAAACCUAGCUUGGUCUGUUUCCAAAGCCUGGCUCUUGACCACAAUGCUUCAUGGCCUUGUGGCUUGUCAUCAAAGUGUUUUAUGAAUCCUGACUUGCCAACACCUCUGAGGAAGGAAAACAUACUUUGAUUUUCCAGAACAACUGGAAGAGCCACAGACAAUCUAAGCUGGAGCUAGAAUUAGAAAGCAAUGUUUUCAUAUUCAAGUUCAAAUAUCAAAGACACUUGGGGAAACUGGCCAUCUACCCAUGGAAGAAUGCGCAUACAAAGAAGCACUUUCCAUUCUCUUUGCCCCAGAUCACAUGACAAUGCCAGAUCACAUGACAAUGAGGUACUGUCAUGUGACCUCUCAGAUAACCUGAGGAGGGGAGGGGGGCUUGUGUGUAGUGGCAGUCUGCAGCCAAGGGAAUAUCUAAAACUUACAAAGAGAAUAUACCAUGUUCAUCUUUAUCUCUGGUAAGGUAGAAAAUGAAGGAUUAUGUUUUCUUUUAUGUAGUGACUAGCUGAUAACAACAUUCUGAGUUGGAAACUGCUCUUACCAUCACUUAAUUACACAGCACAUUUGUUACUUUAUCAUAACCUGUAUACAUGAUAAUUGACAGGGUCAUCAGCACUUUAGAAUGGCUACGUUUCUGAAUAGUACAUGCAACCCUGGAAGCCAGGAAUGCCACUGUUUGCAAUUAAACCUGUGCUUUUGUAUAAAGAUAUGGAUUGUCUUGCAAAAUUAACUUCACGUAUUAAUAAUCUUCUCCUUGAGUUGAAUUGGUGAGGUUUUUGAUUUGUCUAUUUUUGUGGGGGGAAAUAAGUCCCUAAUAGCUACUGCACCAAUUCCUGAGGCUUUCACAAUAUUAGUUGUGGUUUCAAAUAUUUGACAUUCACAUUAAGAAUUAAAUACCAUCCGUUAUAUAACUUUUUUUUUCUUUAAAAUUAAAAACUUGCUAUAAAAACACUAAAAAAGGAUGGUAAUAACCAGGACGUUAAUAUUAAAGCUAUAGAUCUGGUUCAACCAAAAUUUUAAUGUUAACCUAAAACUUUCUAAAAGAAACUGAAAGUUUGCAAAUAGCAGCCUAUAUUUCCCAUCCACAUAUUAACUUUUGAGGUUAUGACAUUUUAUGGAGUAAAACUUUUGUUUUUCAAUCUAGAAAUAUUUAUGGGUGUCAUCCUAUACAUUAAAAAAUUACCUAAAAUUAGAAUAAGUGAAUACAUUUCACAACUAUAUUUCAAUACUAUUUGACACAUAAUAGAAGAUUAAGCAAAGACCUUCAUAUUUCUGAUGGCUGUGUUAUCAGAAGUUCUCAAAAUAUGAACAACCUGUGUCGAAUUUUACUUUUACAUAACUGUAGUGGUUGAAAUAUAUUGUACCAAUUUUACGGAGAGAUUUUUUAGAAGCUGAAACAAACCCACAAAUAAAGAGAACUUGAGCAAAACCUCAGGAUUUGGAGGUCUGCCCAGAUUUUGUGAAUUUACUUAUUAAGCAGCAUGGCUGCUGGAAAUCGUCCAGAACCUAGGGGCUGCAGAAGAGCAGAGACUACGGGCGGAAGUCCGUCUGCUCUCCUCUGCGAGCAGAAGGAGCACAAAACUCUUGCUGUCACUGCUAAACAGUCUCCUCAUUCGCUGGACAUCAGGGGUGCAACCUCACAUCCCAAGUAAGAGGAAGGAUGCUUAGGCAUUCCACAGGUUUGCAAAAUGAGCAAACUAAAGCCCACAGUUCCUGUGAUUCAUAAAAUUCUUGUUCUGCCUUUUGAUUUUGCUUUUCCGGCAUCUAUAAAAAAUCAGAAAUCAAAGUACUGAGCUCCUUGGAAGCUAAUACAUCACCCUGGACAGCUUCAAAAUCAUAUCAGAAUUGAUUAUAGGCUGGCUGAUUAAAUGUGCAGGGGUGGGCAAACAGGUUACAGUUGUUCAUAUGGAAAAUACCAACUAAUAAAUAA